ensembl:lncRNA
UAUAUAUAUAUAUGCGUAUUCAAAAUGUACAGUCUCUCGCUACCACCGAUACGGAUCGACGAUUCUGAUGACAUCAUUCUGCACUUCAGAGUCUCAUCAGAUUUUCUGUCCAAUCAAACGCUUUGUAGAAUCCGAAGUGUCCCGCCCACAAACGUUAUAAAUAUGACCUCGCCGAAGUUGCCGCUGUUGAGCGAGAGAAAUCGUAUUCGCAAGCAAAUGUGUCUUUGGCUGUUCUCUGGAACAGCUGAAGGAGGAUGGAGGAAAAAACUUCCACAGGUGAAUCCAACGCGUCAUCGUCGUCGCUCAGGCUCACGUCCAUGGAGCUGACUAUCGAGUACGGCUUAACUCGGGCUGUGAGGUAAGCUAAAAUCUAUUGGCCAUUUAAAAAGGGGGAGGGGCUACUCGAUAUGUCCCGCCCUGACUUCCUGUUUCAGCGUAAAUGACAUCAACACAUCGAAGAACGCUGCACGUUUCGAGGCACUUCACAAGGACUUUAACACAAGUAUGUAUUGAAAGUGCAUUAGUGCUCUAACAGUUAGCUGUUAGAGACCCGUCCAUGUUCACGAAGCUCCGCCCCGGAUCUACAGUGGUCCCUAGAGUGUCUAUACGAUGAUUGACAGGAGCCACAUCCGAACACAAACAAGCCCUUUUGGACCAGAAUUCAGUUGUCCAAACGUGUUUUCUCGAGCAACUUUAUCCACUUUUGCUAAAGCCAUGGCUUCAUGUUUUUUUUCGUUUUUUUCAAAUCAUGUCUUCCAGGUUAUUUGUACAAGCAAAAAAACUAUCAUUGGACCUUUAAGUGGCUUAAAGACACUUUAAUGGGCGGGAAUAUGGCCGUGGGCUCCAGGAUUUUUCAAAAAUAAAUAUUUCAAAUGUCGAAUUCACCUACUUAACUGUUAGAGGUCGUAGCUUUAAAAAAAAUCUCGUAACCUAAUGCACCUUUAAGGACCGUUGUUGGAUCUUUAGAUUAGAUUUUAGAGUUAGAAAGUGCAGGAAACCAACUCUGGUCCUGGAUUACCCCACAUGUCCUGCACAUGUUUUCACUGCUCAAGAAUUCAGCUGAUAAUAAGAUAAGAUAAGAUAAUACUUUAUUAAUCCCCAGAUGGAGAAAUUAGGGAUUAAGCUAAUUAUCUGAAUCAAGCGUGUUGGGAGCGGAGAAAACAUGAAAAAUGUUGAGGACGGGACGUAUUCUGUGACGAACCGGAUUGGAAAUCUGUGCUUUACACUACAUGCACCUCUCCAGGUAAAAGAUACGUACUAGAGUCACAUCAAAUAGUGACUUAAUUAAGCUUGGAGCUUGAAUGAAUAAUGUAGUAAUAUUAAUAAAUAAUAAACAACUCAAUCGUGGCAUGUCUCACAAAGAACGAUGAAACUGGGAUGAAACGUCUCACGGGACAUCUUUUAGCCUUUUUAAAUAAUAAUAAAUUUUGUGUAAUGUAAUAUAUCAUUUUCUUUGGUUUAGGAAAUUCGAUACGGUUCCCAAGGUACACGUGUUUUCCCGAGUUCCGCUAGCUUGUCUUUCAAUUUCAGUUGAUUCAGUUCAUUUAGAAACUUCCGGAUCGUGAACGCAGCCGGAUAGAUGUUGAUUCUGUUUAAUGUAUGCACCUUACUUGGAUCAUGUAGAGCUUUAAAAUGCACCAAGCGCUGACGUGUUAUUUAUUUUAUCCCUGGAAUUUUAGCUCCUGUUUAACGGGCUGAUUUGAAUAUCCUGUCUAACUCCAGCUGUUCACAACUGCAUCAUUUGCACAAUACUCAUUUUAGGAUACAACAAAUGUAACCUCAUGACACUUACAGCAUGAAUACCUCAGGGUGUUGAAUAAAAGCCAUGGUG